rnacentral:rRNA from 1 species
CCUACGGGAGGCUGCAGUGGGGAAUAUUGGACAAUGGGGGGAACCCUGAUCCAGCCAUGCCGCGUGUGUGAAGAAGGCCCUCGGGUUGUAAAGCACUUUCAGUGAGGAAGAACGCCUGGUGGUUAAUACCCAUCAGGAAAGACAUCACUCACAGAAGAAGCACCGGCUAACUCCGUGCCAGCAGCCGCGGUAAUACGGAGGGUGCGAGCGUUAAUCGGAAUUACUGGGCGUAAAGCGCGCGUAGGUGGCUUGAUAAGCCGGUUGUGAAAGCCCCGGGCUCAUCCUGGGAACGGCAUCCGGAACUGUCAAGCUAGAGUGCAGGAGAGGAAGGUAGAAUUCCCGGUGUAGCGGUGAAAUGCGUAGAGAUCGGGAGGAAUACCAGUGGCGAAGGCGGCCUUCUGGACUGACACUGACACUGAGGUGCGAAAGCGUGGGUAGCAAACAGGAUUAGAUACCCUGGUAGUC